UCCCAGGUGGUCUAGUGGUUAAGACUCAGCUCUUUCACUGCUGUUGCCCAGGUUCAAUUCCUGCUCUGGGAA
rfam:Sus scrofa chromosome 7.